GACGAACGCUGGCGGCGUGCUUAACACAUGCAAGUCGAACGGUAAGGCCCUUUCGGGGGUACACGAGUGGCGAACGGGUGAGUAACACGUGGGUGAUCUGCCCUGCACUUUGGGAUAAGCCUGGGAAACUGGGUCUAAUACCGGAUAGGACUACGCGAUGCAUGUCGUGUGGUGGAAAGCUUUUGCGGUGUGGGAUGGGCCCGCGGCCUAUCAGCUUGUUGGUGGGGUGAUGGCCUACCAAGGCGACGACGGGUAGCCGGCCUGAGAGGGUGGCCGGCCACACUGUGACGGAGAGACGGCCCAGACUCCUACGGGAGGCAGCAGUGGGGAAUAUUGCGCAAUGGGCGGAAGCCUGACGCAGCGACGCCGCGUGGGGGAUGACGGCCUUCGGGUUGUAAACCUCUUUCGACCGGGACGAAGAGAAAUUGACGGUACCGGUAUAAGAAGCACCGGCCAACUACGUGCCAGCCGCCGCGGUAA
rnacentral:rRNA from 1 species